UACGGAGGGUGCGAGCGUUGUCCGGAAUCACUGGGCGUAAAGCGUGCGUAGGCGGUUCGUUAAGUCUGCUGUGAAAGCCCUGGGCUCAACCUGGGAACUGCAGUGGAUACUGGCGGACUAGAGUGUGAUAGAGGAUGGUGGAAUUCCCGGUGUAGCGGUGAAAUGCGUAGAGAUCGGGGAGGAACACCAGUGGCGAAGGCGGCCAUCUGGAUCAACACUGACGCUGAGGCACGAAAGCGUGGGGAGCAAACAGG
rnacentral:rRNA from 1 species